rnacentral:rRNA from 1 species
UACGUAGGGGGCAAGCGUUGUCCGGAUUUAUUGGGCGUAAAGCGCGCGCAGGUGGUUUCUUAAGUCUGAUGUGAAAGCCCACGGCUCAACCGUGGAGGGUCAUUGGAAACUGGGGAACUUGAGUGCAGAAGAGGAAAGUGGAAUUCCAAGUGUAGCGGUGAAAUGCGUAGAGAUUUGGAGGAACACCAGUGGCGAAGGCGACUUUCUGGUCUGUAACUGACACUGAGGCGCGAAAGCGUGGGGAGCGAACAGG